rnacentral:rRNA from 1 species
GACGAACGCUGGCGGCGUGCCUAAUGCAUGCAAGUUGAGCGAUGAAGAUUGGUGCUUGCACCAAUUUGAAGAGCAGCGAACGGGUGAGUAACGCGUGGGGAAUCUGCCUUUGAGCGGGGGACAACAUUUGGAAACGAAUGCUAAUACCGCAUAAUAACUUUAAACAUAAGUUUUAAGUUUGAAAGAUGCAAUUGCAUCACUCAAAGAUGAUCCCGCGUUGUAUUAGCUAGUUGGUGAGGUAAAGGCUCACCAAGGCGAUGAUACAUAGCCGACCUGAGAGGGUGAUCGGCCACAUUGGGACUGAGACACGGCCCAAACUCCUACGGGAGGCAGCAGUAGGGAAUCUUCGGCAAUGGACGAAAGUCUGACCGAGCAACGCCGCGUGAGUGAAGAAGGUUUUCGGAUCGUAAAACUCUGUUGGUAGAGAAGAACGUUGGUGAGAGUGGAAAGCUCAUCAAGUGACGGUAACUACCCAGAAAGGGACGGCUAACUACGUG